rnacentral:lncRNA from 1 species
UUCACUCCUCUGUGGAGAGAGACACAGGGAUUCCUGACCAAGCUGCCAUGGAUCCUUCCCUCCUCCAGCUCCAUCCCUUUGAUGCCUCAUCCAUCUCCUCUUCACCGUCUUGUCUUUGCCUGUUCCCUUUUCUGCUUCUCUGCUCCUCUUAAGGCUGGGUUUUCCUCCUGCGUCUCCUCUGUGCGCCUGUGAGUGUCCCCUGUCUGCUCAUCCUCUCUCCCUCUGUCCACCUGUUUCUCUUUCUUCCAGCGUUUCUCCAUCUCACGCGCUGCCUCUGUCAUUUUCUCUCUUUCUUCGUCUUUCUCUCUCUCUCAUUGUUCUGAGACAUAGCAGUGCCUGGCCCAGCGGGGACAACAUGUUUCACAGACAAAUCAUCCAACAAAAGAGAGGAGGAACGUGCUUCAGUAACUCUGGACUUGGCCAUGUGACUUUCUUGGGCCAAUGGGACAUGAGCAAGCAUGAUACCAGCAGGGAUUUGAUUCUUCCUCCACCUCAGCUGAAAGGAUUCAUCUUGCAGCACGGCCCACCUUGGAACCCUUUGUGUUUGCUGAAACUUUCUUUGUGAUUAUUCUUAUGUCACUGCAUAGCAUGUAAAUGUAUCACACCCCCCCCCCACCCAUUAUUAUUAUCUCCUAGUAUGCACCAGGCACUGGCCAUAAAUUAUUUCUAAUCAUCAUUAAAACUCUACCACGGUUAUCCUCCCUCUAUGGAUAGGAAAACUAAGGCUUGGAGGUUGAAGAGGUCAUGGAUCUUGUCCAAGGUCACUAAACUCAUAAAUGUCACAGUCAAAAUUUGAAUCUAGAUAGAGUUGUCAGCUCCAAAGAAGUUUGCUCAGUCAGUUCUUCCCCAAAUUAGCUUUUUAUCCAAAUUUGCUGAGAAGCUUUUUAAAAAUACAUCUUCUUUACAACAAAGCCAGAGAAAGAAUAAGGCAGCUCUCUGCACAACAAUAUGGUGCUCGUAUAUGCCUAGAACAUCUCCAGGAAGAAGGUGAGUCACUGGCCACCGCUGGCCUCAGGGGAUGGUCUACGGGAGGGGACACAGGAGUGGGAGGGAGACUUGCUUUUUACUAUAUUCUCCAGUACUUAUUGGAUUCCUUCCUUUCCUUCCUUCCUUCCUUCCUUCCUUCCUUCCUUCC